rnacentral:lncRNA from 1 species
UUGGAAAAUUCCCAACUUGUUCCAGUCCUUACCACCUUUUAGGAUCAGACUCUUAAUCUAUUACCUCCCCCAAGUCGGCUAGGUUCUAUUGAUCAGCAGAACUGUAAGGAUUAUUUUUUGAAAUUGGAUUUAUAGGAAAUUAAAAAUAACUUAAUCUAAAGCAUAUUGAAGUCCAUAAAAAUUCUCCCAGUGAUUGGGCUAGGCAUUGGAUCGGACCCUAAAGGCCUGUCUUCUGGAAUAUGCAUAGCAUCUAUGUUGCAUGUCCUAAGCCACUGGCACCACCCGAACGGCUCCUUUUUAAAAUGAAUGGCUGAGUUCACCGUGAU